rnacentral:rRNA from 1 species
ACGGAAGGCAGCAGUGGGGAAUAUUGGGCAAUGGGCGCAAGCCUGACCCAGCGACGCCGCGUGAGGGAAGAAGGUCUUCGGAUUGUAAACCUCUUUCAGCAGGGAAGACCAAGAGACGGUACCUGCAGAAGAAGUCACGGCUAACUACGUGCCAGCAGCCGCGGUAAUACGUAGGUGGCGAGCGUUAUCCGGAAUUACUGGGUGUAAAGGGUGUGUAGGCGGAGAGGCAAGUCAGGCGUGAAAUACACGGGCUCAACCCGGGAACGGCGCUUGAAACUGUUUCCCUUGAGAGUGGGAGAGGUAAACGGAAUUCCUGGUGUAGUAGUGAAAUGCGUAGAGAUCAGGAGGAACACCGGUGGCGAAGGCGGUUUACUGGACCACAACUGACGCUGAGACACUAAAGCGUGGGGAGCAAACAGGAUUAGAUACCCUGGUA